rnacentral:tRNA from 1 species
GGGGUUUUGGCUCAGUGGUAGAGUGCUUGCCUAGGAUGCAUGAGGCACUGGGUUCGACCCUCAGCACCA